AACGAGGAAGUGGAAGGGGGAGUAUGAUCACUGGCAAGAGUGUGCACAACCAGAGAAUAGAACGUCUUUGGAGAGAUCUCUUUUCUGGCUGUGUCCAUAUGUAUUAUAAUUUGUUUUAUAGCCUAGAAAAGUCUGGUAUACUAAAUCCUGAUGAUGACAUCGAUUUGUUUUGCUUACACUAUGUAUAUUUGCCAAGAAUAGCGCAGUCUCUCAAAACCUUUACAGAAGGAUGGAAUUUUCAUCCGAUAAGUACAGAAAGUAAUCUUACUCCAAAUCAGCUAUGGAUAAGUGGUCUUCUUCAAAUAGCUAACAGUAGUAACAGAAUUGCUCGAGAUCUUUGGCAAACAGAUAUCCGAAGCUGAUUCCAGUUUGUUUACUCCUAUGGAAUAGAAAGCUUUACGUUUUUGUUGUAUAGGAAUUUUAUGGAGUCGACUGGAAUGGCCCAAUGUCAAGUGACUCAGAUAAUGUCAUAGUUGAUGUUCCUCAAACAAUGAACCCGUUAUCUGAUGUGGAGUUCAGUACUUUGAAGAAUGUGGUUGAUCCUCUUCAUCCGAGUAGUACUCUUGGAACAGAUGUCUUUAUGCAGUGCAAGCAGUAUGUUCAUGACAGAUCUUUUGCCAACUGACGUCAAACAUUGCAUGAUGUUAACGGUCUCUAUAACAAAACUAUGAAGGGAAAUACGCUAUGCAACACAAUUUGUUGUCGAGAAAAGUGUACUUUUUGUCGUUUUUUCCCAUUUUUUUAAAUACAUAUUUACGCUCUGCUCA